UACGUAGGGUGCGAGCGUUGUCCGGAAUUAUUGGGCGUAAAGAGCUUGUAGGCGGUUUGUCGCGUCUGCUGUGAAAAUCCGGGGCUCAACCCCGGACUUGCAGUGGGUACGGGCAGACUGGAGUGUGGCAGGGGAGACUGGAAUUCCUGGUGUAGCGGUGGAAUGCGCAGAUAUCAGGAGGAACACCGAUGGCGAAGGCAGGUCUCUGGGCCAUUACUGACGCUGAGAAGCGAAAGCAUGGGGAGCGAACAGG
rnacentral:rRNA from 1 species